rnacentral:rRNA from 1 species
GACGAACGCUGGCGGCGUGCUUAACACAUGCAAGUCGAGCGGUAAGGCCCUUUCGGGGGUACACGAGCGGCGAACGGGUGAGUAACACGUGGGUGACCUGCCCUCAGCUCUGGGAUAAGCCUGGGAAACCGGGUCUAAUACCGGAUAUGACUCCAUGACGCAUGUUGUGGGGUGGAAAGCCUUGUGCGGCUGAGGAUGGGGCCCGCGGCCUAUCAGCUUGUUGGUGGGGUGANGGCCUACCAAGGCGACGACGGGUAGCCGGCCUGAGAGGGCGACCGGCCACACUGGGACUGAGACACGGCCCAGACUCCUACGGGAGGCAGCAGUGGGGAAUCUUGCGCAAUGGGCGAAAGCCUGACGCAGCGACGCCGCGUGAGGGAUGACGGCCUCGG